GUAUAAUGACGUAAAUGACUGCAAAACAUAUCAUAAUAAGAUGUUUGUUAUUUCAAAAUAAACACACUAAUAUUAUUAUUAUUUCAUGACAAUGAAACAACGAAUGUGUACUUAUCUGGUUCAGAUAACGAUAAAAAAUAAGGGAUAUGCUGAAAGAUGGCCAACAAUUAAAUCAAAAGUGGUAUGGAGGUAUGGUCUUCAGAAAAAAUUAAAAAAAUGUUAGUCAACUGUCAGUUUUGCCAAUGCAAAACUACCAUAAUUAUGGUUGUUAAUCAAAAAUUUAUAUUAGAUGAUUCAAAAAAACGUAUUACGGAAUCAGAAGACCAGUUGGCACAAAAAACAGAAGAAGUUCAAUUAUAUAAUAAUGCAAUAGUGGCACUGGAGAAGCAAAAGUUUGAGCUCAUCCGAGAAUUACAUGGAGUCAAACAAGAACUAUUGACAUUCGAUUCUUUAAAAUGUGUUGAAUUUUAAGAAAAAGAAUAAUUAUGCAAUCAGGAUCAAACCAAGGACACAGCAAAUGAUGUUACACAAAAUAACUU